rnacentral:rRNA from 1 species
GGGUUGUGAGGUUAAGCGACUAAGCGUACACGGUGGAUGCCCUGGCAGUCAGAGGCGAUGAAGGACGUGCUAAUCUGCGAAAAGCGUCGGUAAGGUGAUAUGAACCGUUAUAGCCGGCGAUGUCCGAAUGGGGAAACCCAGUGCAAUUCGUUGCACUAUCGUUUGAUGAAUACAUAGUCAAACGAGGCGAACCGGGGGAACUGAAACAUCUAAGUACCCCGAGGAAAAGAAAUCAACCGAGAUUCCCCCAGUAGCGGCGAGCGAACGGGGAGCAGCCCGGAGUCUGAAUCAGCUUGUGUGUUAGUGGAAGCGUCUGGAAAGUCGCAGGGUACAGGGUGAUACUCCCGUACACUAAAACACACAGGCUGUGAACUCGAAGAGUAGGGCGGGACACGUGGUAUCCUGUCUGAAUAUGGGGGGACCAUCCUCCAAGGCUAAAUACUCCUGACUGACCGAUAGUGAACCAGUACCGUGAGGGAAAGGCGAAAAGAAC